CGUAUGCAUAUCAAUUCGAAUCAUAGGGGGUCCAGAAACUAACAGUGCAUUUUCCAUUGCGAACUGUACGACCUAAUUAGGCAUAAUUACAGAAUAAGCGUACUUUGAAAUGACGUCUUUAUAUCAUUUUUUCACCAGAGCCGGUGUUUCUCUGCAUCAAGGCGAUCAGCGUAUCGGAAUAUCCGGUUGUUAUGGCCGGACGCAUCACAGCGUUUCUUCUCAUGUGUGCCAUGUUCGCCUACGGUAUCAUGGCCAUUCCAACUAAUGAAGAUGCUACAGCACGAGGAAAUUCAGUCCCUACAAGUGCUGCCAAUGAGGAUGCAAGAAUCGGAAAACCUGCGAUCGAAAGCUUCGUUGACGGAGGACUCGGCUGAAACUCACGUGAUUUGCUACACCGAGAGAGCAGCGCUAUAAAACCGGUUUUUGUCGCGUGCUCGCUGCUUUCUUUAGCGAGUGAAAUGGAAUAAAAUGUACCAGCAUCAGGUUA